AGAGAGAGACAUGCGCGCAUAUCAAUAAGCGGAGGAAAAGAAACUAACAAGGAUUCCCUUAGUAACGGCGAGUGAAGCGGGAAGAGCUCAAAUUUGAAAUCUUCAAGGUUCUACCUUGACGAAUUGUAGUUUAUAGAAGUGUUUUCUGUUAGUGGAGUGGCAAAAGUUCUUUGGAAUAGGACAUCAUAGAGGGUGAGAAUCCCGUAUUUGGUCAUUCCUCCUAGCGUUGUGAUACACUUUCAACGAGUCGGAUUGUUUGGGAAUGCAGUCCAAAAUGGGUGGUAAAUUUCAUCUAAAGCUAAAUAUUGGCGAGAGACCGAUAGCGAACAAGUACCGUGAGGGAAAGAUGAAAAGAACUUUGAAAAGAGAGUUAAACAGUACGUGAAAUUGUCAAAAGGGAAGCGUUUGACACCAGUGUUGUUUUUCCGAAAAUCAAUUACGAAUGUUUUGUUUUUGAGGAGUUAUGACUUCAUCGGCUUGCUCCUUUCUUUACGAAACUUUCUUAAUGCACUUUUCGGUUAACAAGUCAACAUCAAUUUCUUUUGUUGUAAAAGGGUAUGAGGAAGGUGGCCUUCUUUUCGGAGAAAGUGUUUAUAGCCUUGUGCCUCUGCAAUCGGAGAGAUUGAGGUCUGCAGCGUAGAUCCUUCGGGGUUAGAUACGUUUGUGCUAAGUUAUAGCUUUUCAUAGACAACUUGUUGACUAUGUUUAGUCUUGUAGCUUACUCGCUGACGCUAUUUUACCUACGCUUAGGAUGUUGAUAGUCACAGCGUGUAC
rnacentral:rRNA from 1 species